UUAUGGCUCAGGAUGAACGCUGGCGGCGUGCUUAACACAUGCAAGUCGAACGAGGCUUACCGACGGAAGUUUCGGAUGGAAGACGGUAAGACCGAGUGGCGGACGGGUGAGUAACGCGUGGGGAACCUGCCCCAUUCCGGGGGAUACCAAUUGGAAACGACUGUUAAUACCGCAUAAGCGCACAAGCGGACAUCCGCAAGUGUGAAAAAACUGAGGUGGAAUGGGAUGGCCCCGCGUCUGAUUAGCCAGUUGGCAGGGUAACGGCCUACCAAAGCGACGAUCAGUAGCCGGCCUGAGAGGGCGACCGGCCACAUUGGGACUGAGACACGGCCCAAACUCCUACGGGAGGCAGCAGUGGGGAAUAUUGCACAAUGGGGGAAACCCUGAUGCAAGCGACGCCGCGUGAGUGAAGAAGUAUUUCGGUAUGUAAAGCUCUAUCAGCAGGGAAGAAGACUGACCGGUACCUGCACAAGGAAGCCCGGCUAACUACGUGCCAGCCGCCGC
rnacentral:rRNA from 1 species